GCACAGAGUUAGCCGGCUGCUUAUUCUGCGAGUAACGUCCACUCUCCAGUAGUAUUAAUACUGGGAGCCUCCUCCUCGCUUAAAGUGCUUUACAACCAGAAGGCCUUCUUCACACACGCGGCAUGGCUGGAUCAGGGUUGCCCCCAUUGUCCAAUAUUCCCCA
rnacentral:rRNA from 1 species